GACGAACGCUGGCGGCGUGCCUAAUACAUGCAAGUCGAACGCAGUGGCGGACGGGUGAGUAACACGUGAGUAACCUGCCUUAGACAUUGGGAUAGCCUCGGGAAACCGGGAUUAAUACCAAAUGGUCUAAGAUGGACUCGCGUCCCAUUAGCUAGUUGGUGAGGUAACGGCCCACCAAGGCGACGAUGGGUAGCCGGCCUGAGAGGGUGAACGGCCACAUUGGAACUGAGAAACGGUCCAAACUCCUACGGGAGGCGGCAGUGGGGGAUAUUGCACAAUGGGCGAAGCCUGAUGCAGCGACGCCGCGUGGGGGAUGAAGGCUUUCGGGUUGUAAACCUCUUUCGCAAUCGAACGGGUAGGUGGAGAAGAAGCGCCGGCUAACUACGUGCCAGCAGCCGCGGUAAUUC
rnacentral:rRNA from 1 species